GAGCCAGCGGAGAGAGAGGCGUGGAGGCCGGUGCCUGCGGGUGAGUAGCCUGAGGCCAGAGAGCAGUAGGAACCUGUGGCCUCCCAACCCUUGUCUUCUCCUGCAAAGAACAGAGGAUUGGGAUUCACGCCAGAAGGUACAGAAAUGGCCAACACAGACGAGAUGCCUCAAGUCUAGGUUAUGCGCAUGGAAUCACAUGGUAUCAUUCCUCAUUUCUGGAGUAAAAGGCAAGAAUACUGACAACAAGCAGUGCCGGGCAGCUGUGGGACAGGUGGAGCCCCCAUGGACCCUGCUUCUGGCGUGCAGUUUGUCAAUAUGACACUCAAAAUUCUGCGGAAGCUUUGAUCCAGUGACUUACCUCGAAUAAUUUAUCUUCAUUUUUUAAAAUUUAUUUAUUUAUUGAGACAGGGUCUCGCUCUGCCACCCAGGCUGGAGUGCAGUAGCACGAUCGCAGCUCACUGCAGCCUUGACCUCCGGACUCAAGCAAUCCUCCUGCCUCAGCAUCCCUCAAAUAGUGCAACCACAGGUGUGCACCAACACACCCAGCUACUUUUUAAAUUUUUUUGGAAAGAUGGGGUCUCACUAUGUUGCCCAGGCUGAAUUUAUCUUUAAAGGGCACGAAUAAGAUGAGUGGACAAAGAAGACCCAGUUAUGUCAUGGGGAAACCUGGAAGCCACCCCAAGAGCACAGCUUUGCAAGUGGAUGAGAGUUCCAAUCUCAGCCCAGCUGUGUGAUUCUGGGCAACUGUCCUAACCUCUCUGAACUUCAGUUUCCUCAUCUGUAAGGUGGGAAUAAUGGCAAUACCCAACCCCUCCAGGGCCGUCUGAGGAAGACAUAAGACUACAUGGGUAGAAUGCUUACCUUUAGGCACACAAGAGACAAUUUAUAUAAAGGAAAAAGUUG
rnacentral:lncRNA from 1 species